AGCUAGAAGGGAUCACCUUAGAGGCCAUCUAAUCCAAUCCUCUUAUUUUCUAGAUGAGGGAGAGGAUCUGUAGACAUCAGAAACGGAUUUCUAUUCCAGAGACUCUUUGAGAAGAAAGAGAACUAAAAAAUAAAGAAUUAAUAGCUAAGAAGACAACUCCUCUUUUGAAUAUCUUGAAAGAAGCAGAUUGAGAGAAGAAAGGAGAGAAGAAUGACUAAGGAGAGAGAUUGAAAGAUAAAGCUAAAGAAAUGAAGAAAGAAGAAAUGGAGAUAAGAAGAGAAGAAAAGAGAGGCCAUGCAUCUUGCUGAAGGUCACAGGCAUGAUAGGACCCUCAGAGACAGUCUCAGAGCCCUGUACCAUAUGGGAAAGAGAAUGAGCACUGGCAUCUGAGGAGGUGAUGGUGGCAGGACAGCUCCUUAUUCAAGAUCCAGGGUUCCUAGGUUGUGUCCUUUACUAAAUCUAACAAUAAGUAGGACUUAUGUUGGAAAACAAUGAGAAUGAGAGAGCUUUCAAUCAUCUUUUUUAAUCAUCACCUUUUCUCCCAUCCAUGUCCCUUUUGCCAUCUUGGCCACUCCUUUGGGAUCCAAAGGGAAAAGGAGAAGAAGAAACUAGAGAAAGAAGACUGAAUUCUUCUCUAGGAUGGAAUCCAGACUAUAGACUUCCUCCUACUCUCCUUUUGGAAAUAAAUCAUCCAAAAUUUAAAAAAAUGAACAUUUAUUUGGAAUUGUAGAGAAUAAGAUGAUGUGGUUCUUAUUUGCCUGUCCAAUUGUGACCAGGAGAAGAAUGAUGAUCAUUUUGGUUAGUAGCAGAGGGGCGGUGUAGAAGCAGGGAUGUGCUAAUAAUGUUUAACAACAAGCUUUCUCUGGGUAUGUCUGGAAAUGUAUGUAUGACCCACUUAUAAGUGUAAUCUCCCGUUAACAUUUUUUUCCAUCAAGUCUGGACAAUCAGCAAAAUGACAAACCAGUUCCCAUUUGUAGCCUUUGCUGAUUUUGGAGGUGUAAAUGCUCACACUGAAAAUUUAACAACUGGCUCUCAUGAGUUUUCUCCAACGAAGCUCUGAACAUCAAGCUAAAAACUGAAUGAAAAUAACAGUUUUAGUGUGCCUCCUUUUGUGAAAGAAAGAUGACCCUAAAGAAAAGUGGUUUAAAUUUAUUUUAGAAAACAUUGUUCUAUCUUCUCAUUGAAUACACUUGUCAUUCCAGAGAUGCUGUGCUUUCACUUGCCAUUGAAGGGUUUUAAAUGAGCCCAUCCAGGCCAAGGCCUGUUUCCUCAUCUAAAAAGUGAAGAGGUUGGCCCAUAUGGUGUCUGAGUUCCCUUCCAGUUCUGCACCCAGGAUUCCAAGUCACUUAAUGGCCCUGGGCAAAAGGGCUUGAAAUAGAUGGGUUCUGAGGUCUCUUCCAGCCAGAGAGCUAUCACCCUUCGAUCCUUUUCUAUUAUGAAUAUUGCCUCUCUCUUGUGACCUCUCUUUUUGUCCUCCCCUUUUUGGGAGGGGGUAAAUUUAAAUGAGUUGGAUAUUAUUAUAUAAUGUUUAUAUUCUAUUUUAUGUUUAUAAUUAUAUAAUUUAUAAUUAUUUUAAUAAAUAUUUUAUUCUUUUUGGGCUAAUAUUUUUC
ensembl:lncRNA